rnacentral:lncRNA from 1 species
AUUUCUUUAUUUCUGUGAAAAUAAUUUAAGUUCUUGGAUAAUCCAGAAAUGUCAACGUUUUUAUUUCACUACUGUUUACAAAAAUGUUCAAGUUCACAUACGACAUUUUGGAAGCAUGCAGUUUGCCAAAAUUUUCAAAGCCUGUUUGUGAGAAAAAUUUUUCUUGAAAAAUUUGUAAUUUACAACAUUUUAGAAGCCCAGCG